rnacentral:tRNA from 1 species
GCUCGCUUGGUGAAAAAGGUAAACACGACAGACUUAAAAUCUGUUCCUCUACGGUUAUCGGUUCAAGUCCGAUAGCGAGCA